CAGGGCUGUAUUGAUUGGGGUGUAGACUGAACUAUCCGGGGUCUGUUUCUUUUCGGUGAUGAAAGUCUUGAGAAGGUAGUAAUGGAUAAGAUGUGAAGGAGAGGAGAGAUGGAGAUUUGGAGUGUAGGCGGAAAUCCGAACGCCAGAAGAUCUGAAUGGAAUGUUCUGGAUUGAAGAAAGUGGGAAAUGGCCUCAAUUCACAAAGUCACAGCCUGAUAGAAACCAGUGUGACUUUACUGCCCAGUGAACCCAUCUCGUCCUCCAGCCUUUAGGAGGUAGGUUGGACUGGAGCCUGCAGUAGUUUACUCUCCACCUGAGUCCUGGUCUCCGGCUGGGAACCCACUUAGGCCAUAGAGAAAAACGCACACUGUGCCUCUCCACCGGGCCUCUGGAGACGAGGCUCCUCGGGGAUACAAACAGUGGGGAGAACAUGAGGGACAUCCUGACCGUACACUGCGUCCUCCUUUCCCAGGUGUUGCGUUCUCUCUUGGGUUGAGUGGCGAGGUCUCUCCCGAGUCCCAGGGCCACAGUGCAAUGUCACAUCUCCUUUGUGGAAAGUGACUGGUAAAAGAGAACAAAACUGGAGGAACCUAAAGUCUUCGGCCACCUGGUUUAAUUUAUUCAAGAGUGAUUAAUCCUAGAUGAGAAAAAGAAUUGAAAUGGAUCGGAAAAAACCAAGCGUGCAUUGGCCGGUAAUCGGACGCGGGCCUCCCGCGUUGCGGGCGAGAAGUCUACCACUACACCACCAAUGCUAAUGUCGAUGAAAGAGCUGCAGUGUCAUCUCUUAAAGCUGAUUAUCUCUGGCCAUUCCUUAAGGAAACAGGCACUGUCUUAAAUCGUGG
rnacentral:lncRNA from 1 species